UACCUCCAGGAAUUGGGGGAUGUAGGUGACCUCAGAGGUGACCACUCAUGUUCAAAGUCUCCUGUCCAGAAGCUCCACCCCCCACCCCACAUCCAAGCCCCCUACUCUCCCACCAGUAUUUACAUCUGAAACCCAGGAAGUGGCUGCAGAGGGCAGAGAAGCCAAGUAGGCUCAACUUAGUAGCAUGGAAUCAGGGAUCAUUUCAACCCUCCGCUUCUGUGCAAGCAAGGCAGCAAGUCAGAAAGCCCACCAGGGCCCUGGCUCUGCCCUAGGCUCCAGUCCUUGGGUCUCUGAGGCCCUUGCUCUCUUUGUUCAUCUUCCAGGGAGGUGAUGGGGCAGAUUGGAUACCUCUGGGGUCUUGGAAGAAGCUAUGACUUAUUUACUGCCUACUUGUGUUGAGUACUGUGGUGGGGCCUCCUAGGUAUUGAGAAUUCGGUUCGCUGAUUGAAUUCUCACGUUGUUUUAAGUUAGGUGCUGCUACCAUCCCCCUUUCAGAGGAAACUCGAUUGUGAAUGACUUGCCCAAGAUUGGUCAGGAUGGGAACUCAGGCCCCCAUUAACAGAGUUCCCUGUUGUCCCCUCAGCUCUGGCUCUGUGUCUUCAUCCAUAGACUCUGUGUGGCCGUAAGCAAGCUGCUUUCCCCACUCUGAGCCCCUGUAAGGUCCAUGGUGCUAUCAGGACUCACUGGGAACUGUGUGUCCAACAACCUCACCCCAAAAGCCUCAGCCUCACUGGGCCUGGAGAUCUGCUGGAGCUGCCUUCUCUGUCCCCACUCUCCACUUCUCACUUCUGGAACUUAAGGGAGCCAGGGAACAUCUAAAAUUGAGACUGGAGAGCCAGGUGUCAUUCCCUGCUAAGGGAAGAGGCUCAGAGAGGCUAAGUGACCUGCUCAAGAUCUCACAGCUGGCUGAGCAUGGUGGCUCAUGCCUGUAAUCCCAGCACUUUAGGAGGCCAAGCUAUUUGUGUACUCGGCUUAUCUCCCUGCCAGACUGAGAGGCAACGCGGGCCUGUUGAAAGAGCGUGGACUUUGGAGCCGCAUGACCUGGCCCUCAAUCCCAACCCUGCGACUCAGAGCUGGUUCUCAGGUAGCUGCGGAACCACAAUUGAUAUCCCUCUGCCCAUGCAGGCACCUACGUGUCCACACACUCAACACCAUGGCCGCCCAGCGUCUCAUAGUCACAAGACUCACACUUUUGCACACACAAUCAUUAAUUCAGAGCCACAAACGUGUGUGCAGGCACCACACCCACCCUGCUGCCGAUGCACACACAGGGCACAUGUGGGCUUCGGGCCUCAGACUGACAGCCAAGCACCUGCAAGUCCCAUUCCCGGAAUGACAGAUACACACCCACACGUUCACACGGGCUCCAGUGUGCCUGACACGACAUGGUGGGGUCUGUGGACUCACACUGCACCCCGUGGACCCAUGUCCAGACUCCAGCCUCUGCAGAUGUCCCUCCUGCCCAGGUGCCUUCAUUCCUGUCUCUUCAAGACUAUGGCUCUGGAAUGUGCGCACAGUGGAUCCCCUUCUCACGUCAGGUCCCUGCCCUGCCGUCUUCUGUAAGAACUGGGCCUCAGGUGUGUGGUAGGGAAUUGGGGUAAAAGGUGACCCUUCCUCCAACCCUGGCAGGCUCCCUGGGCUGCAGAAGGGACAGCAGGGAGGGGAGAGUGAAUUAAUCCUGGCCUCCCUUCUUGGGUUCACUGUAAUGCUAAUUUUCUCUGCCUUUGAUCCAUCUCUCCAGCCCCGGCCCCUAACUCUGAGAAGGAGCAGGCGCUGGGUCUGGCCUGAGAUUAGGGGCUGCCCUGGUGAGGCCUGGGGCAUAUCCCUCCAUGUGGGAGACUAGGGUUUUGCCCUUGGGAGGGGCGUGGGGGAUUAUAGCCCUGGUUACUGACCUGCUGGGGGCAACACACUGUACUUCACCAGACUCGUCCUCUCUCUCCCUGACUGACCCUCUCCUCUCUAAAGGGGGCUCUGUGUUCCCAUUUUGCACAAGAGCAGAGUGAGGCCCAGGGUUGAAAGGUCUCCGGAGGCUUCUGGCCACUGAGAGGUGGAGCCAGGCUGGGAGCACACAUCUUCCAACCUCCAACCCACCCUGUUUCCACGGAGGGUCUUUGUUCUGGUGAUUUUUUUUGAAACCAACGUCUAUCGAGUAUUCAUGACAUGCCAGGGACUGCGCCUUAACAUACAUUGCCUCAUGCAGUCCUCAGCAAUGCUCUUAUGAGUCCCACUUUAUAGAUGGGGAAAGUGUCCUGUGUAACUACCUGGUGAGGGGUGAAGUCUGACCAAAUCCAGGACACAGGUGGCCAAAGUCCCCUCCCUGUAGGGAGUGACACUAAGACCCAGGCAGGGGAAGGACAUGCCCAAUCCCAUACAGAAAGGGAAUUGGCUGGACAUGCAUCUCCUACCUUCCUCUAUGCUCCAUCUUGUUCCAGAAAUGACUGGACUCUUCUAUGGACCCAGUGGUGCUGGGACAAGAGUCCAGGCCCUGACACUGCCCCAGAGCAGGGGUGCAGCACCUAUGAGGAUACCGAGCUCAGGUCAUCGCCCUGCAGCGUCUCAGCCAACUGGGCCUCCAACAACCCAUACACUUGGACAUAAACACAAUUAAAGUUUUUUAUUACAUUAUAUUUUAUACAUAUAAAAGACUAUUUGUAAGCCAUGAAACACAUUACAAUGAAUGCUCAUGACUACUCUGCUGAAGAACUAGAGUAUUAGAGACACUUGUGAAGCUCCAAGCUUCCUAGUCCCCUACUUCCCAGAAGGAGCCACUAUCCUAAUUGUCAUUACUCCCUGCCGUUUUUGUUUGUCUGUUUGUCUGUUUGUUUGUUUGUUUUUUAAGGAGUCUCAUUCUGUUGCCCAGACUGGAAUGCAGUGGCGCGAUCUCGGUUCACUGCAACCUCUGCCUCCUGAGUUCAAGCGAUUCUCCUGCCUUAGCCUCCUGUGUAGCUGGGAUUACAGGCGUGCACCACCACGCCAGGCUAAUUUGUUGUAUUUUUAGUAGCAAUGAGGGUUCACCAUGUUGGCCAGGCUGGUCUCAAACUCCUGACCUCAGGUGAUCCACCCACCUCGGCUUCCCAAAGUGCUGGGAUUAUAGGCAUGAGCCACCGCGCCCAGUCUCUCUCUGCCUCUUUUUAACAGAAAGUUUUAGCACCUGUGUGGGGACCCCUUCACUGACUUGCAAUUUUUUUUUAAGAGAUGGGUGGUCUCAACUCUGUUACCUACGCCAGAGUGCAGUGACGUGAUCCUGGCUCAUUAUGGCCUUGAUCUCCUGGCUGAAGUGAUCCUCCCACCUCAGCCUCCCAAAUAGCUGGGACUGCAGGUGCGUGCCACCAUGCCCAGCUUUUUUUUUUUUUUUUUUUUUUAAUUUUUGUGCAGAGACAGGGUCUUGCUCUGUUGCCUGGGCUGGCCUCGAACUCCAGGCCUCCAAUAGUGCUCCCGUCUCAGCCUCCCAAAGUGCUGGCAUUACAGGUGUGAGCCACCACAUCCAGCUGCUAACUGCACUUUUGAGAUGUUGCAUUCUAUUCUGCAUUCCCAAGUAUUCAUUCCCAGGGGAAGUGGAUUAUUUUAAGGGAUAGAGAGAGAACUUGGAGGAGCCACUUGCACCCCAUGUGCCUCUUCCCUUCAGUGCUGUGGGUGCUCUGUUUGGCCCCUCAUUCCAGUGAGUGCUCUGAAACGGGACACUUCUUCCUGGUGCAGCCAGUAGAAGGAGGGUGGGGGCCUUCCAGCAGCUGGGCAUUCUCUGAACAUGGCAUGCU
ensembl:lncRNA